rnacentral:rRNA from 1 species
GUGGGGAAUAUUGCACAAUGGGGGAAACCCUGAUGCAGCAACGCCGCGUGAGUGAUGAAGGCCUUCGGGUUGUAAAGCUCUGUCUUCAGGGACGAUAAUGACGGUACCUGAGGAGGAAGCCACGGCUAACUACGUGCCAGCAGCCGCGGUAAUACGUAGGUGGCAAGCGUUGUCCGGAUUUACUGGGCGUAAAGGGAGCGUAGGCGGAUACUUAAGUGGGAUGUGAAAUACCUGGGCUUAACUUGGGUGCUGCAUUCCAAACUGGGUGUCUAGAGUGUUGGAGAGGAAAGUGGAAUUCCUAGUGUAGCGGUGAAAUGCGUAGAGAUUAGGAAGAACACCAGUGGCGAAGGCGACUUUCUGGACAAUAACUGACGCUGAGGCUCGAAAGCGUGGGGAGCAAACAGGAUUAGAUACCCCAGUAGUCC